GAGUUUGAUCAUGGCUCAGAAUAAACGCUGGCGGCGUGCUUAACACAUGCAAGUCGAACGUGAAAGUUUCUUCGGAAAUGAGUAAAGUGGCGAACGGGUGAGUAACGCGUGAGAAUCUGCCCUAUAGUGAAGGAUACUACUGAGAAAUUGGUAUUAAUACUGCAUACCUUCGAAAGAAGAAAGGUGGCCUAAAAGCUGCCGCUAAAGGAUGAGCUUGCGUGCUAUUAGCUAGUUGGUGGGGUAAUGGCCUACCAAGGCGAUGAUGGCUAGCCGGCCUGAGAGGGUGUACGGCCACAUUGGAACUGAGAAACGGUCCAGACUCCUACGGGAGGCAGCAGUGAGGAAUAUUGCACAAUGGGCGAAAGCCUGAUGCAGCGACACCGCGUGAAGGAUGAAGGUCUUCGGAUUGUAAACUUCUGUUAAAUGGGAAAAAAGAGUCUUCCUGAAUAGGGGAGAAAGAUGAUGGUACCAUUAGAGAAAGCACCGGCUAACUUCGUGCCAGCAGCCGCGGUAAUACGAGGGGUGCAAGCGUUAUUCGGAUUUAUUGGGCGUAAAGGGUUUGUAGGCGGUCUGUUAAGUCAUUUAUUAAAUGCCCUAGCUUAACUAGGGAGAUGUGAGUGAAACUGGGAGACUAGAGGAUGGAAGAGAGAAGUGGAAUUCUCGGAGUAGCGGUAAAAUGCGUAGAUCUCGAGAGGAACACCGAUGGCGAAGGCAGCUUCUUGGUCCAUAUCUGACGCUGAGAAACGAAAGCGUGGGGAGCAAACAGGAUUAGAUACCCUGGUAGUCCACGCCGUAAACGAUGAUCACUAGAUGUUACUUCUGCUUGCAGGGGUAGUAUCGUAGCUAACGCGUUAAGUGAUCCGCCUGGGGAGUACGGUCGCAAGACUAAAACUUAAAGGAAUUGACGGGGUCCGCACAAGCGGUGGAA
rnacentral:rRNA from 1 species